rnacentral:rRNA from 1 species
GCUCAACCGAAGAAGUGCAUCGGAAACUGGGAAACUUGAGUGCAGAAGAGGACAGUGGAACUCCAUGUGUAGCGGUGAAAUGCGUAGAUAUAUGGAAGAACACCAGUGGCGAAGGCGGCUGUCUGGUCUGUAACUGACGCUGAGGCUCGAAAGUAUGGGUAGCAAACAGGAUUAGAUACCCUGGUAGUCCAUACCGUAAACGAUGAAUGCUAAGUGUUGGAGGGUUUCCGCCCUUCAGUGCUGCAGCUAACGCAUUAAGCAUUCCGCCUGGGGAGUACGGCCGCAAGGCUGAAACUCAAAGGAAUUGACGGGGGCCCGCACAAGCGGUGGAGCAUGUGGUUUAAUCCGAAGCUACGCGAAGAACCUUGCCAGGUCUUGGCAUACUAUGCAAAUCUAAGAGAUUAGACGUUCCCUUCGGGGACAUGGAUACAGGUGGUGCAUGGUUGUCGUCAGCUCGUGUCGUGAGAUGUUGGGUUAAGUCCCGCAACGAGCGCAACCCUUAUUAUCAGUUGCCAGCAUUAAGUUGGGCACUCUGGUGAGACUGCCGGUGACAAACCGGAGGAAGGUGGGGAUGACGUCAAAUCAUCAUGCCCCUUAUGACCUGGGCUACACACGUGCUACAAUGGAUGGUACAACG